UCUAAUAUGGCAGAUUAGUGCAAUGGAUUUAAACCUCAUAUAUAAAGAUUUUUCUUUUUUUAGAA
rnacentral:tRNA from 1 species